GCUUCUGUGUUUCGCUUAACAGGAAGAGAAUUUGGGAGCAGGUUUCCCUUGGUUCGGUUUGGGCCUUGGGUGGUCAAGGCCUGGAGUCUUAGGAGUGACCAUACACCACCUCCGAAUCCAGUACACCCCCACUGAAUGGGUACUUUAGCCGCUUUAACUCAUUAUUUGAGUUGCUUUGCAUUGCUUGUGGUUUGCAUACCACUGAGGUGUCAGUAUCUAACCGGUGCGCAUAGCUAUUCCGUUCAGAUAUCCAGCCAGACUCAACAAAUCCAAGCUGAUGGAUUCACCCAACGCCGAUAUUCUGGAAUUGAAAGAGAUGAUGGGGGAAUUGUUCAAAGUCGUGAAAGGGCUCGCCUUGGGGCAGAAAGCAAUGGCUGAGAGGUUGGAAAGGAUUGAAGGCUGGAUGAUAAAGGAGAAAGUUCAGGGAAAGGCUCCGUCAUCCGUAGUAAAGAAGCCCUAUGGCAAUGGUCAGCUCAAGAAGGAGGUUGAAUCAAGUGGUGUGCAGGCAAAAAAAGAACGCGGUCAGGAUCGUUACCACCCUUAUGCUGCCACUGUAACCACUCCUGUUGGUAAUCCACCUGCACCACAGCAACAGCAGCCACCUCAACAGAAAGCAUAGAAAGCUAAGAGCCAAGUGAAGAAGGGGACGGAUCGUCAGUUUGAUAAGCCAUCCGUGACUUAUACCCUUCUGUUCAAGAGGUUGAGGGAUCUUGGGUUAGUUCGGCCAAGGAUAUUGGUUCCUAUAGAACUGCAUCGGAGGCCUGCAAACUACGACGAGAAUGCCAGGUGCGAGUUCCAUUCUGGGGCACCCGGACAUAGCAUUGAGGGUUGUAGAGCUUUUAAGCAUGCCGUCCAAGAUAUGGUGGAUUCUAAGGCCAUCAGUUUGGCGCCAACACUAAACAUUAACGCUAACCCUGUGCCAGGUCCCGUGGGGGUGAAGGUGAUGUCAAAGGACAAGAGAGGAACAGAGGUGACUGAGGGGGGUCAGUUAAAAACUCCCAUGUCUAUGGUCCCAAAACAUCUGAUGAAGAGUGGAGCAUUCCCUAGUUUUGAUAACUGUUGUGCGGCUGUCGCUGCCAAUGGGUGUGCAAUGAUGAGGGAAACGAUCCAGAGAAUGAUGGAAGUAGAAAUGGACGCGGUGAAAAAUUCGAAACACCCAGUCAGGCAGUUGAAACCGUCAAGGUAGAGGAUGCCAUUCUAGCUGAGAAAGAGAAGAAGCUGUCCAUUUCUUCUUACAAACAGGCCAUGGAAGUGGUGAAGAACGGAGAAGCCCUAGGCUGGGGAAGGAUCAUAGACAUUGUGGUGAAAGCGGAUAUGUUCGGGGUUGGCUAUCAGCCAGAUCAAGACUCGUCUGGGCAGAACAGAAGACGUCGUCAACCGUUCACAUUCAUCAGUGCCGGAAUGCUGGAUCCAGGUCACGCCUAUAUAGUGGGUGAAGAGAUUGACCGUGACCGCGAGCUUGAGUCGUGGAUAAAAUCGUGCGUACCAAGGAAACUGGAAAGCCUCAAGGAUCAUCACUGUCACUCAUCCUGAAGAGUAGUAUUUCUGUUUUUCAAUUCUGUUUGCAUGAAAGCCAUACGUUUUGCCCGAAACGUAAUGGUCCAUUGUAAGGGCCAUCUCAUGUGUUUCAUUGUGCAUCAUUUUGCAUAAUUAAUAAAUGGAUGUUUUUGUGAUUAAAAGCGGUGUUCCCUGUCUUUCAUUUAUUUUUGCAGUUUAAAAAUAGAAAGUAAUAAAAAUGGCAACGUUUGUUUUCAUUUUCUUUCCUUUUGAUUCGUCUUGUUCCGACCUCAAAAGUGACUAUCCUCCUUAUCUCAUUGAUAACAAUUCGGUUACACCUCUGUAUGACUUCGACAAUCCGAUCUAUCAUGCCGAAGAAGAAGGCGAAGAAGAUUGUGAUCUGUUGGAAUUAGCCAGGUUGUUGAAACUAGAGGAGAAGGUGAUUCAACCGCACGAGGAGAGAUUCAAGAUUGUUAUUCCAGGCACCGCCGAGGUCAGAAAGGAAGUGAAAGUUGGGGCCGCUUCAGGGGCUAAUAUAAAGAGCAGAAUGGUAGCACUGUUAAAAGAGCAUGUUGUUAAUACCUCAGGAUUGGCAUUAAUUUUAGAAAACAAAUAAUGUAAUCAUCUCUGCUGUUUUAAUAUGUUGGGUUGAAGAAAUUCAACAUCUGGACCAACAUGUCAUGUACGAUGUCACGACAUCAGGUCUGUGACAUCGCACAUGUGUAGGAAACUGAAUUAAUUAAUUCAGUAUAUGUUCUGGGAUCAGCAAGGAUAUCUGGUGAAUAUCCUAACUCCCAGGUGGAGGUCUUGAAGACUAAAUCAGAAGAUAUAUAGGCUCAAAAUAUGGA